AAAAUGCGAUAAGUAAUGUGAAUUGCAGAAUUCAGUGAAUCAUCGAAUCUUUGAACGCACAUUGCGCCCGCCAGUAUUCUGGCGGGCAUGCCUGUUCGAGCGUCAUUUCAACCCUCAAGCCCCCGGGUUUGGUGUUGGGGAUCGGGCUGCGGUUCUACCGCGUCCCGGCCCCGAAAUCUAGUGGCGGUCUCGCUGCAGCCUCCAUUGCGUAGUAGCUAACACCUCGCAACUGGAACGCGGCGCGGCCAAGCCGUUAAACCCCCAACUUCUGAAUUUUGACCUCGGAUCAGGUAGGAAUACCCGCUGAACUUAAGC
rnacentral:misc_RNA from 1 species